rnacentral:rRNA from 1 species
AAUGCUUAGGAAUCUGCCUAUUAGUGGGGGACAACAUUCCGAAAGGAAUGCUAAUACCGCAUACGCCCUACGGGGGAAAGCAGGGGAUCUUCGGACCUUGCGCUAAUAGAUGAGCCUAAGUCAGAUUAGCUAGUUGGUGGGGUAAAGGCCUACCAAGGCGACGAUCUGUAGCGGGUCUGAGAGGAUGAUCCGCCACACUGGGACUGAGACACGGCCCAGACUCCUACGGGAGGCAGCAGUGGGGAAUAUUGGACAAUGGGCGAAAGCCUGAUCCAGCCAUGCCGCGUGUGUGAAGAAGGCCUUUUGGUUGUACAGCACUUUAAGCGAGGAGGAGGCUACUGAGAUUAAUACUCUUGGAUAGUGGACGUUACUCGCAGAAUAAGCACCGGCUAACUCUGUGCCAGCAGCCGCGGUAAUACAGAGGGUGCGAGCGUUAAUCGGAUUUACUGGGCGUAAAGCGUGCGUAGGCGGCUUUUUAAGUCGGAUGUGAAAUCCCUGAGCUUAACUUAGGAAUUGCAUUCGAUACUGGGAAGCUAGAGUAUGGGAGAGGAUGGUAGAAUUCCAGGUGUAGCGGUGAAAUGCGUAGAGAUCUGGAGG